rnacentral:rRNA from 1 species
GACGAACGCUGGCGGCGUGCUUAACACAUGCAAGUCGAACGGAAAGGCCUCUUUCGGGGGGUACUCGAGUGGCGAACGGGUGAGUAACACGUGAGUAACCUGCCCUUGACUUUGGGAUAACUUCAGGAAACUGGGGCUAAUACCGGAUAGGAGCUCCUGCUGCAUGGUGGGGGUUGGAAAGUUUCGGCGGUUGGGGAUGGACUCGCGGCUUAUCAGCUUGUUGGUGGGGUAGUGGCUUACCAAGGCUUUGACGGGUAGCCGGCCUGAGAGGGUGACCGGCCACAUUGGGACUGAGAUACGACCCAGACUCCUACGGGAGGCAGCAGUGGGGAAUAUUGCACAAUGGGUGGAAGCCUGAUGCAGCAACGCCGGGUGCGGGAUGACGGCCUUCGGGUUGUAAACCGCUUUCGCUCAUGACGAAGCUUUGUGUGACGGUAGUGGGUAAAGAAGCACCGGCUAACUACGUG